rnacentral:tRNA from 1 species
GUGACCAUAGUUUAACCAAAAACCUUGGGCCGUGACCCCAAGAACGAGAAUUUUCCUCUCUGGUUACC